GUGCUCACUUCGGCAGCACAUAUACUAAAAUUGGAACGAUACAGAGAAGAUUAGAAUGGCCCCUGUGCAAGGAUGACACGCCAGUGAUAUGUCUGAUGUCCUU